ACUGGCCUUGCCUGCCAUAAGAUUUCCCAAGGUGCUUUGCUCGCUUUUUUUUUUAGUAGUUUAAGAAGAAGAAAGAAGGCGGAUUUUCAUCAAGACUAAUGGAAAGCAGCAGCAGCGCUGGCAGUAGUGCUGAGUACAGCUUUGGAGCAGGGAGCAUACAGAGGAUUUGAUAAAACUCCGUGGGCAAAAUGACCACCUCUUUACCAGGGCCAAAAAUACUGCCACAGUUGGAUGGAGAACAAUCCUGCAAAAAACGGGCCUGGAGGGUGAAGUUGAGCCAAAACAGGCCAAAAAAAAGUGGGACAACUUGGAAAAAAAAUACAAAGAAUGCAAAGAUCCAGGGACAGGGCAGGGGGUCAGUGGGAAGCCU